GCGGGCGUGGUGGAACUGGUAGACACAAGGGACUUAAAAUCCCUCGCCGCAUGGCGUACGGGUUCGAUUCCCGUCGCCCGCACCA
rnacentral:tRNA from 1 species